ACCCUAACUCACAAAUAUUCAUCAAAUCAAAGAGGAAACGGGUUAGAAAUCGGUCCCCAAGCCAAGGUCUGAUCACUCAAGUUAGGAGAUCACAAGGUAAGUUUAAUUUUAACAUUUGGUGAUAUCUUGAAUUUAUGAUUAACACUCAUGAACGAAAUUCAAGAGUGAAUGUUGAAUGUAUUAGUGAAAUUAACGUAAGUACAAGUCUAGAAACAAGCCCUAGAUGUAAACUUGUUGAAUUAGUACCAUGAAUUAGUGAUUUGGUUAACUAAUCAUGUAUGUGCUAAGUGGGUUUUAUGAUAAUAUGAUGAACACUUGAAUUAGAGUGUUAAAUUUAUGAAAAUUGGUCUUAUAACGCAAGUUCUAGAUGUUGUUCAUGUACACUAGACAUAGAGGCUUGAUUUUGAUGUUAAAACUUGGUUAAAAGUUAACCUGGAACUUGAUAAUAGAUGCGUAUAAAAUCUCGCCUACAAGAUGUUUGUUAAAAUGCCUAAAUGAACCUUGAAAUGAUGAAAAUGUUAAAAAGAAUCACGUAAUCGACUAAAUUGGUAAAUUGCGUGUGAUGAGUCUUAAAAUGAGUUCUAAACAUGAAGUUGGUUGAACUCUAUAGGCAAAGCGGGUGAAUCGUCAAGCGGUCAAGCUGGAACGGAGUCGCGCUUGAAGGAUAAGCUUUGGGGUGAACGUUAUAAACUUUUGGAUGAAGAUCAGCGUCGUGCAAGAACCGAACACACGUUAAAUGAAGCUUCCGCGUUGAUCUUGUUUAGUUUGGAUAUUUUGAAUCAUGUAAACACUUAAUAACUGUAGUUUGAAUGUUUUAAACAAGGAUGAACAUCAUGAUGUAAACGUUUUUGUAAAACGGCAUUUUCGUCGUAAAGUGCUAACUUUUAAAUGAUGAAGUGUUUAUAAAACUA